rnacentral:misc_RNA from 1 species
AAGUCGUAACAAGGUCUCCGUAGGUGAACCUGCGGAGGGAUCAUUACUGAGUGAGGGCCUCUGGCCCGACCUCCAACCCCAUGUUACCUGACACUGUUGCCUCCGGGGCGACCCGGCCUGCCUUCGGGCGUUUCGGGGCCCCGGGUGGACCAUUCAACUCUGCAUCUUUGCGUCUGAGUAAAUGAUUGAAUCAAUCAAAA